CAGUCGCCACGGGAAUACGGAGGGAGCUAGCGUUGUUCGGAAUUACUGGGCGUAAAGCGCACGUAGGCGGCUUUGUAAGUUAGAGGUGAAAGCCUGGAGCUCAACUCCAGAACUGCCUUUAAGACUGCAUCGCUUGAAUCCAGGAGAGGUGAGUGGAAUUCCGAGUGUAGAGGUGAAAUUCGUAGAUAUUCGGAAGAACACCAGUGGCGAAGGCGGCUCACUGGACUGGUAUUGACGCUGAGGUGCGAAAGCGUGGGGAGCAAACAGGAUUAGAUACCCCAGUAGUCCCUGUCUCUUAUAC
rnacentral:rRNA from 1 species